GUGGUCAGGCCCCGCCCCCGCCGCUGUCCUCCGCCUGACCCCGGAGCUCCAGAACCGCUAGCAGAACCACGCGCAGCGGCGGCGGGAGCCCCGAUGCUGACAGGGAUGGUCGUAGCGACCAAUCCGGGUUCAACGCUCGAGCGGUUCGCGGGCUCCUGGCGCUGCUCUGGGGGGAUCUCGUUUGGAGUCUUUUGCGGGUCUCUUGAUUCAUGAAGUAACUGCAGAUGACCUUGAACGGAUCCCGCCUCCAUCCUGCAGGUGUUGGGAUUACAGGCAAGCACCACCUCCCUGGGUUUAGACCCCUCUUAUUACUAAAAGGAGAACGAACACUAUAAAUAUUACCUUAGUGAUUGAAGUACUAAGCAAAGGCAGAAUGAGAAGCAGGAAUGUUGGCUUAUACCUGGAAUUCUGCAAGAAGAGGGUGAGGUCACAAAAAGUCUCUGGAGAUACCUUGGACAGAAUUAUAAUCCAAGUAAAACCAGAAACUGCUCAAGUUACGUUUCUUUUCCCCUGUAAAUGGGAUGUAUUGAGAUUACUAGAAAAAUAAAUGUUUAUAUGUGGAGAGAAAAGGGCCUGACACAUUUGAUUUGGUAAUUGUGUUGAAAUCGUGUGUGUGUGUGUGUGUGUGUGUGAGAGAGAGAGAGAGAGAGU
rnacentral:lncRNA from 1 species